rnacentral:misc_RNA from 1 species
GAUGAAGAACGCAGCGAAAUGCGAUACUUGGUGUGAAUUGCAGAAUCCCGUGAACCAUCGAGUCUUUGAACGCAAGUUGCCCCCGAAGCCAUUAGGCCGAGGGCACGCCUGCCUGGGCGUCACACGUCGUUGCCCCCCCAUCUACUCCUUCGGGAUUGCGGGGGGCGGAUGAUGGCCUCCCGUGCGCCUCGUCGCGCGGUUGGCAUAAAUGCCAAGUCCUCGGCGACGCACGCCACGACAAUCGGUGGUUGCGAAACCUCGGUUGCCCGUCGUGUGCGGUCGUCGCGCAUCGAGGGCUCGAAAAAAUUGCCGGGCUCCGGCUCGGCUUUCAACGCGACCCCAGGUCAGGCGGGGUUACCCGCUGAAUUUAAGCAUAUCAAUAAGCGGAGGA